UCGCCCUCUCUUCGGCUUCCAGGUCAGUGGUGGAAAAAUACUCGGCUCAUCUGGGUUGCUUGUUUUUCUCUUGAAGCCGCCAUGGAUGCUUGGGACCUACUGAGGCUACUGUUGCCCCUUAAGAGAGCCACAAGCCAUCUGAGCGGGGCUGAUCACGAACACCGGUCACGUGCUGGCCCGAACCAUCAUGUUUUCUGUACCUUUGCUCAACACCUACUCCCUUGUUCACUAAAAGACUUGGGUAUCACCACAGACACCAAGGACCCGGAAGCAGACAAAGCGAAUCUGUGCCUGUAAGAUAGAAAUAUGGGAUCAUCACGUUCCUGGCGAAAUUCGUUCCUAUUAAAGGGACCACAUGGUGCUAAAGAGUCGGCAAGGUAGACAGAUCAUCAGCCGGAACUUCAGGGUUGUGGAGAGUUGGAAUGUCACAAUGUCACAGGUCCAGAGUCGAAUCACCUUGGGAUGUUGUUAGUCCCUUUCUUGCCCACCUCUGGGUCUGCCCUGACAUCCUUUUAACCAUCAGACUAAACCUUUGUGAUGUAUUAACAGACUGCUAGCUUUCCCCAAACCCAGUGCUAAUAAUGUCAUCAGAUAGCAGAGACUCACCGCUUUGUAACCCGCCUACCUGAUGCCCCCAUCAAUGUAUUUUUAAAAUGCCUUGAUUUAUGACUUUCUUUGUUCUGUUACUAUAAAAAACCUCCUGAAAUGGUUACCAGUUUAGAACACUGUAUUUGGGGCAACCCAAAUCUGUUCCGAGGCCAUAGACACUCGUAUUUGGCUCUAGAAUAAAGAGAUGAGAGUGG